CCUACGGGAGGCAGCAGUGGGGAAUAUUGGUCAAUGGGCGCAAGCCUGACCCAGCAACGCCGCGUGAAGGAAGAAGGCCCUCGGGUUUUAAACUUCUUUUGUCAGGGACGAAACAAAUGACGGUACCUGACGAAUAAGCCACGGCUAACUACGUGCCAGCAGCCGCGGUAAUACGUCGGUGGCAAGCGUUCUCCGGAUUUACUGGGUGUAAAGGGCGUGUAGGCGGGAGAGCAAGUCAGAUGUGAAAUUCCAGGGCUCAACCCUGGAACUGCAUGUGAAACUGGUUUUCUUGAGUGAUGGAGAGGAAGGCGGAAUUCGGGGUGUAGCGGUGAAAUGCGUAGAUAUAGGGAGGAACACCAGUGGCGAAGGCGGCCUGCUGGACAUUAACUGACGCUGAGGCGCGAAAGCGUGGGGAGCGAACAGGAUUAGAUACCCGGGUAGUC
rnacentral:rRNA from 1 species